CCCGGAAGUAAGGGCAGGCCAUGCACGGGAUUGGACACCAUUGCAGCCGGUACCACCACCGCCACCUAGAUCAUGCUUCGUCCUCUCUGGUUGCCCAGGCGACAAGCAGCGUUCGCGCGCUCCUCCAGGCUCCAUGGCUCUGCCCUAGACGUGUCAUUCCAUUUCUGCUCAGAAGAUUAUCCAGAGUACAAACUGUCCAAAGAAUGAGAAAACAUUCAAAGCAGAGGUGAACAUUCUGCACACUUUAAAAGUGCUCUGAGAGGAAACUGGGAAGAAUUCUGCAAGCAUGAGAGUGUGGCCACAGGAACACAGAGUUUGCUGGGCCAGGCCUACACAUGGAAUAACUUGAUGUCAAUCUGGUUUUGUGCAUAUUGCAGGAAACAGAAUUUGCCCUGUUUUCUAAAGGCAAGGUAAUGUGCAAUUAGUGAUUAAUCCAUAUCAAUAGAUAGCUACCCUGAAUUUCCUUGGAAAGAAUUCCUCCCCUCACCCUAAUGCCCCAUUCCCAAAGUCACAGUAAAAGCAAAACUCUUCACAAGGCCUAUACAACCUGUCUUCAUCUUCUGCUGUAUUCUCCCUCUCUGUUCACACUGGCCUCCUGGCCAUUCCUGGAAUACCCUAGCCUCAGAGUCCUUGCACUUCUUCCCUUUGCCUGGGAGAGAAACAGAGCCAGCUCCAUCACCUUUCUUGGUGUUCUUCCCCUAUCCUGUUAAAAUGGCGCACUUACACCCUCCUCCACUCUCUCCUCCUUGCUCUCUGUUUCUCCUUGGCACCAUCACCUUCUAACAUAUAAUUUAUUGAUUUGGUUCCUUGUUUUUCCAUAAGGGCAGGGAUUUGUGUGUUUUACUCAUUCCUGUGUCCCAAGUACCUAGAACAGAGCCUGGUACCUAGUAGUACACUGUGGAAGGGCUGUCAAUGAAUCCACAUACUCACCAGUUCAGCAGGCCAGUCCUUACCCCCAGUGAAGUUAUUUCUAGCACAGUCCUCUCUGAGAGCUUGAUUCAAGAGAAACAUUUCACACGAUUCUUUCAACAUGAGAGACAAUGUAUCAUUGGCUUGGAUUAAUGAGCCAGCAUCAGCCAGAUCAUCAAAUUACCUACAUAAUGUAAUAUCAGAAGGGAGUGUAAUGUCACUGUCUUGGUACUCCUGUAAAUUGAGCCAAAGACUGUUGAUUUUUUAACUUACAGAAUAAAGUACUAGGCUGCUUAAAAUGUCUAGUUUACAAUAUCUUUUUUUUUUUUCAGGAAUCUUUACAUGACACUGCUACACAUUUUAUCACUGACAAUAUUUUGACAUAAGCCUUAUUUUUCCCUAACAGGGAUUUUAUUUUAGUGAUGGGCCCAAGUAUUAUCUUUUCUUCCCACUUUUCUAGUUUCUUUAAUAAGCAAAUAUUACUUUAAGAAAUGACUUUUUGUGCUUUCUACUAAGUCUGCAAAACUCUUUCAUAUGGCAGAGAAACAUUUUUAAAAUCCAUGUUCAAGUUCAUAUCUCUUGUCAAAAUCCCUGGGAAAGCUGAUUGUUUAAAGAACUGACAAUCCCAUCAAAAGAUAAAAGGGAGGAUUUGGGAUUUGGCAAGAUUAUCAGAAUUGAGGACUUUCUCAUCCAACGAUCCAAACGUAUUUUUAGGAAACUGACUGGAGAGUAGGACUUGACUUUGUAAUCCAGCCACCUGAGGGCCUGUGGACAAUGAACCUUUGGGGUUCUGAGAAGCUUCUGUGAUGCAAUGAAUGCUUUAUUCUGCAUCCAAGGAUGUGGGUGGAGUGGUCACUUUAACUCAAAAAAGAAAUGAUACAACUCUGGCUAUGCAUGAGAUAUUAGGAUCAAAAGUUAAAAGAUUGUUAAAGUAUACAUAAUACAUAAAAGUGCUUCAUUUGCAGUGAAAAGCUCUGCAAGUAUUUGGUGCUGAUGUUUCUAAUUAGCUGGACCCUUAAUUUAUCAGGAGAAAUGAGUUUAAACAUUAGAACUAGUUGUGUGGCUUCAAACCAGUCACUCUACCUUUCUAGUGUUUUCUAGUUCAAUGGAGACCUGUUUGACCUUACUUACCUUAUACAGUUAUUUAGAAGCUAAUAUAGUUGUGGAAAUGUUUUAGAAAUCACAAUGCACAAAACAUCUGAGGUGUUAUUAUGCAGCCUUCCCUAUGGUCCGGGCCUCCUGGAAUCUUAAAAUAUAGUGAAUACCUCUUCCAGUGAGAAUCUGGUUAGGUAAGAAAAGCCCUUACCCUAGAUAGCUGUGCUCCCAAAGUUAAUACUGAAAUGAAUUAUCUUUUUAAUGCAGUGAUUCCCUUCUGUUAUUUCUAUAAUAAUUCCACAAAGGAUAUGGUUAUUUUUUUAAGGAGGUAGCCAGAGUGCAGCAUGCUGUUUUUAACUUACCACGUCAGGAACCUGUACUCAGGUUGGAACCACACAUCCCCUUCCUUGAAGGAUGGGACUUUAUGUACCUGGGAAGCCUCUACUGCUUGUGGAAAUUUAGGGCUUCUCUGUGUAUCUGGAUGUGUCAAGGAUCCCCAGGACUGAGUUAAAACAACUAGAGGGCAGUGAGAAGGGUUGGAGAAGUAGCAGGAGUAACAGUAAGUAGAGGCAGCUUUAGGAUGACUGCCUUGCUACAGGGGAAGAUGUUUCUAACCUCUGGAGGUAAAGGGGAGAGACAGCUUAAUCCUUCUGAAGACGUUCUGGCCCAAACCAGGUCCCAGCCUCCUGCCCCUCAGGCUGUGAUUGGAACCACGACCUGGGAAGAGGGACCCUUCAUGGCCCAAGGAAAAGAUGCUGGUCCUCAUUUAGCAGACAGCAGACUCUUUGCCCGCAAGGUGUGUUGUUCCUCACUGUGGCAUCUCCAGAGCCAACGCAGUGCCUGUCACCAAUAGGUGCUCAAUAAAUUCUUGCUAAAUCAAUAAUUGGAGAGUGGUUAAACUGGUAACAACAGAAGCAUUUUCAAACUGCUUAGGGCCCCUGCUGGGGGCCCUAAAAAAAGGGUUUGGGUAAGAGCGACAACCAUAAUUGGACCAGUGGAGCCUCUAGCCAUAGAAAUGUUGUUUUCUUAGUGAUUGUGACAGUACCGCAGCCUGAAGCUGCAGUAGCCUAGAGAAUCACCUCUUACACAGCUAUUUCAAUCUGUGACGGCUACAAAAUUAGUUGGUUGAUAGAUGCCACAUUUCACAACACGUACAUUGUAAUACCUGCUAUAGUUGAUUUCAUAAUUCAUAAUUUUUACAUUUAAAAAAUUGUAGACAGGGCCGGGCACAGUGGCUCAAGCCUGUAAUCCGAGCACUUUGGGAGGCCAAGGCGGGUGGAUCACGAGGUCAAGAGAUCAAGACCAUCCUGGUCAACAUGGUGAAACCCCGUCUCUACUAAAAAUACAAAAAAAUUAGCUGGGCAUGGUGGCACAUGCCUGUAAUCCCAGCUACUUGGGAGGCUGAGGCAGAAUUGCUUGAACCCAGGAGGCGGAGGUUGCGGUGAGCCGAGAUCACGCCAUUGCACUCCAGCCUGGGUAACAAGAGUGAAACUCCGUCUCAAAAAAAAAAAAAUUGUAGCCAAUAAAUAUUGUGAAAUCUUUUACAUUAUUAUCUAUGAAACUAGGAGUAUUUAAUUAUAUUGAAAUCUUCAGAGAAACCAACUUCAUAGGUUUUUGUGGAGAAGCAAUUUGUUCUACUCAUGAGUAGGUAUUAGGAUGUGUAUGUGUAUAUAUGUGUAUGGGGGUCUGGGUUUAGAGAUUUUUUAAAAGCUUUUAUACUUUCCUGCUUCUUGAUGGAUGUAGAGUGUCUUGACCUCCUUUUCCUGGCAAUGUUUAUAUAAAUAAAACCUUUUAGAGGGGUUUUAUUAUGUAAAUAAAUAUAAAUAAAACCUUAUAA